AGUCUUGGCGCUAGGAAGUGCCCACGGCAUGACGGUCACAUUGUUGGCAUCAGCCAUUGUUGACAGCCAAAGCCGCAGUCACACUUGCCACAGCAGCAAAAACAAAAGCAAGAAUAACAGCAACAGAAACAACAACAACAACAACAACAGCAGCAGGGCAGAAGCAACAGCCAUGCAACGCCAACAACACAAGCACACAAACGCCAGCAGGCCAACAACAAUAACAAACAGUUGUUGACAUUUAUGCCGGCGAAUGUCACAUGCCAGGCACGCCCCUCAGCGCACAACAGCAAGAAGGUACACUCGGAGAAAAGGUUUUAACGGAACUGUCAACAAAUAUUUAAGUGAUGUCUGACGAAAGCCGGGAUAGAAACAUAAGCAGUGAAACUACAACGAAUGCAACCCCUCGGCAAUAUGGAAAAGUGGCGCGUAAAGUCAAGGACGGCUUUCAGAGUUCCACUUAAGGCAGUAAUUCUUUAAGCUAAUGCACAAUUUAAUAUAUUUUUUACUACAAAAAAGCACCAUUAUCAAAAAUUGAAAAUUUCCUACUAAGAAAUACACGAAGUUAAAUUCAAAGGUAAUAUGUAAAUAAGGGAACUUCUUUAUUAAGAAUGGACAGAAAAAAUUUUUAUGUAAAACCUGUAAAGGAAUGUUGAUAAAAUUAUGGAUUACGUACUAUUUAUAAAAUAAAAGUUACAAUAAGGUUUUUUCAAAGCUUUCAAUUAA